GUAUAUGCCUACAACAUAGUUUUAAUGCACUGGAUCCCAUUAAAACUUCGUAGUUAAGCAUGCUUGGGAUAGAGUAGUACUGGGAUGGGCGACUACACAAGAAGUCCUAGUGUUUUACAUG
rfam:Picea glauca, whole genome shotgun sequence.